AAUUCGCCCUUAGAGUUUGAUCAUGGCUCAGAUUGAACGCUGGCGGCAGGCCUAACACAUGCAAGUCGAACGGUAACAGGAAGCAGCUUGCUGCUUCGCUGACGAGUGGCGGACGGGUGAGUAAUGUCUGGGAAGCUGCCUGAUGGAGGGGGAUAACUACUGGAAACGGUAGCUAAUACCGCAUAAUGUCGCAAGACCAAAGAGGGGGACCUUCGGGCCUCUUGCCAUCGGAUGUGCCCAGAUGGGAUUAGCUUGUUGGUGGGGUAACGGCUCACCAAGGCGACGAUCCCUAGCUGGUCUGAGAGGAUGACCAGCCACACUGGAACUGAGACACGGUCCAGACUCCUACGGGAGGCAGCAGUGGGGAAUAUUGCACAAUGGGCGCAAGCCUGAUGCAGCCAUCCCGCGUGUAUGAAGAAGGCCUUCGGGUUGUA
rnacentral:rRNA from 1 species